AUGGAGCACGCCGCGUGUGUGAUGAAGGCUUUCGGGUCGUAAAGCACUGUUGUAUGGGAAGAACAGCUAGAAUAGGAAAUGAUUUUAGUUUGACGGUACCAUACCAGAAAGGGACGGCUAAAUACGUGCCAGCAGCCGCGGUAAUACGUAUGUCCCGAGCGUUAUCCGGAUUUAUUGGGCGUAAAGCGAGCGCAGACGGUUUAUUAAGUCUGAUGUGAAAGCCCGGAGCUCAACUCCGGAAUGGCAUUGGAAACUGGUUAACUUGAGUGCAGUAGAGGUAAGUGGAACUCCAUGUGUAGCGGUGGAAUGCGUAGAUAUAUGGAAGAACACCAGUGGCGAAGGCGGCUUACUGGACUGCAACUGACGUUGAGGCUCGAAAGUGUGGGUAGCAAACAGGAUUAGAUACCCUGGUAGUCCACACCGUAAACGAUGAACACUAGGUGUUAGGAGGUUUCCGCCUCUUAUUG
rnacentral:rRNA from 1 species